GUGCUCACUUAGGUGGCACAUAUACUAAAACUGGGAUGAUACAGAGAAAAUUAACAUGGCCCCUGUGCAAGGAUGACACACAAAUUCGUGCAGUGUUCCAUAUUUAA